AGUGAACGCUGGCGGUAGGCCUAACACAUGCAAGUCGAACGGCAGCACAGUAAGAGCUUGCUCUUACGGGUGGCGAGUGGCGGACGGGUGAGGAAUACAUCGGCAUCUACUUUUUCGUGGGGGAUAACGUAGGGACACUUACGCUAAUACCGCAUACGACCUACGGGUUAAAGCAGGGGAUCUUCGCACCUUGCGCGAUUGAAUGAGCCGAUGUCGGAUUAGCUAGUUGGCGGGGUAAAGGCACACCAAGGCGACGAUGCGUAGCUGGUCUGAGAGGAUGAUCAGCCACACUGGAACUGAGACACGGUCCAGACUCCUACGGGAGGCAGCAGUGGGGAAUAUUGGACAAUGGGCGAAAGCCUGACCGAGCAAUGCCGCGUGAGUGAUGAAGGCCUUCGGGUCGUAAAGCCCUGUUGUUGGGAAAGAAAAGAUGUAGGAGAAUACCCCGCCGUCUUGACGGUACCCAAAGAGUAAGCCCCGGCUAACUUCGUG
rnacentral:rRNA from 1 species